rnacentral:tRNA from 1 species
GCGGGCUUCGCCUAGUGGUUUGGCAACGGCCUUCCAAGCCGUCCACACGGGUUCGAUUCCCGUAGCCCGCUCCA